UUUAUAACUGAACCAUCAUUAGCGACAAGUUUUCACUAUUAACCACCAUCAACCCCCACGUUAAUUUAGAGGAUGCACCAUGAUGAUCAGAAUCAUGAUUAAGAUUACUUAUCCAACAAUCAGAGACCUGUAUUGUGACCAUCAACUCAAACUAGUCACACGGCUUCAAAAACGAUCACAAGCUCAUCACAAUUUACCCAUUAAUCCAUCACUCGCCCUCCAUAAAAAGGCAGCUACCUUAAGUACAUCUUAUGUGUUCUAAUCUAAAGCUCGGUUUCAGCUCCCCUCAAAGCAAAUUAGCACACUAUUAAGCAGAUAACGCUCAUCUACCGAAUUCAUAUGAACCCUUGCAGUUAUUCCAAUAAUUUCC
rnacentral:lncRNA from 1 species